rnacentral:tRNA from 1 species
GCCUCGGUGGCGGAACUGGUAGACGCGCACGACUCAAACUCGUGUUCCUUUGGAGUGUGGGUUCGAUUCCCACCCGAGGUA